GACGAACGCUGGCGGCGUGCUUAACACAUGCAAGUGGAGCGACGCACCGGGCUUCGGCCCGGGGCAGAGCCGCGAACGGGUCAGUAACACGUGGGUUACCUGCCCCGCUGACAGGGACAACCCGGGUAAACCCGGGCCAAUCCCCGAUGUGUCCUUCGGGGGAAAGGAAGCUUAGGCCUCCGCGACGGGUUGGGCCCGCGGCGCAUUAGCUUGUUGGUGGGGUAACGGGCUACCGAGGCGACGAUGCGUAGCUGGUACUGAGAGGACGAUCAGCCACACUGGGACUGAGACACGGCCCAGACUCCUACGGGAGGCAGCAGUGGGGAAUCUUGCGCAAUGCGCGAAAGCGUGACGCAGCAGCGCCGCGUGGAGGAAGACGGCCUUCGGGUUGUAAACUCCUUUCAGUUGGGACGAAGCUCCGCCGGUUAAUAGCCGGCUGGAGUGACGGUACCUUUAGAAGAAGCCCCGGCUAACUACGUGCCAGCAGCCGCCGUAACAC
rnacentral:rRNA from 1 species